GCGAACGCUGGCGGCAGGCCUCACACCUGCCAGUCGCACGAACCUUUCGGGGUUAGUGGCGGACGGGUGAGUAACACGUGGGAACGUGCCUUUAGGUUCGGAAUAACUCAGGGAAACUUGUGCUAAUACCGAAUGUGCCCUUCGGGGGAAAGAUUAAUCGCCUUUAGAGCGGCCCGCGUCUGAUUAGCUAGUUGGUUGAGGUAAUGGCUCACCAAGGCGACGAUCAGUAGCUGGUCUGAGAGGAUGAUCAGCCACAUUGGGACUGAGACACGGCCCAAACUCCUACGGGAGGCAGCAGUGGGGAAUCUUGCGCAAUGGGCGAAAGCCUGACGCAGCCAUGCCGCGUGAAUGAUGAAGGUCUUAGGAUUGUAAAAUUCUUUCACCGGGGACGAUAAUGACGGUACCCGGAGAAGAAGCCCCGGCUAACUUCGUG
rnacentral:rRNA from 1 species